UUUCGCGGGGACUCUCGACUAACCCUAGUUUAUGGUCACCUCCUGUUCUUAUCGUUUGUUAUUUUCUGUUCCUGGCUUUAACAAACUACAGGAGGCUUUGAAGCAGCGCUGGACACGUCUCGGAACCAAAAAAAAGCCAGGAUCACCUCCCUGCCCAUUGUGCUCAAUGUCCCGACUGAAACACCGUGAAUAUCAGGCAAUGGUCAGCUCGGCUGCCGCGAAGAGUUCGUCUCUGUUGCCCCGGUGUUUUCAUGGAGGGAAUCUGUUCAUUUGAGCAUAGUAAACCUGAGCAGGGUCACUCUGUUGGACAUCCAGUGGUCCGAUUAGACAGCCUAAGCUCAAACAAAC
rnacentral:telomerase_RNA from 1 species